rnacentral:rRNA from 1 species
UAAAGCGUGCGUAGGCGGCUUUUUAAGUCGGAUGUGAAAUCCCCGAGCUUAACUUGGGAAUUGCAUUCGAUACUGGGAAGCUAGAGUAUGGGAGAGGAUGGUAGAAUUCCAGGUGUAGCGGUGAAAUGCGUAGAGAUCUGGAGGAAUACCGAUGGCGAAGGCAGCCAUCUGGCCUAAUACUGACGCUGAGGUACGAAAGCAUGGGGAGCAAACAGGAUUAGAUACCCAGU